rnacentral:rRNA from 1 species
UACAGAGGGUGCGAGCGUUGUCCGGAAUCACUGGGCGUAAAGGGCGCGUAGGCGGCUCCGUAAGCGGGUGGUGAAAGCCCGGGGCUCAACCCCGGGUCGGCCAUGCGAACUGGGGAGCUGGAGCACGGUAGAGGCACAUGGAAUUCCGGGUGUAGCGGUGGAAUGCGUAGAGAUCCGGAAGAACACCGGUGGCGAAGGCGGUGUGCUGGGCCGUGGCUGACGCUGAGGCGCGACAGCGUGGGGAGCAAAC